rnacentral:rRNA from 1 species
GAUGAACGCUAGCGAUAGGCUUAACACAUGCAAGUCGAGGGGCAGCACAAGGUAGCUUGCUAUCUGGGUGGCGACCGGCGCACGGGUGCGUAACGCGUAUGCAACUUGCCCUAUACAGGAGGAUAACCCGUCGAAAGACGGACUAAUACUGCGUAUGCUCACAACUUGGCAUCAAGUGGUGAGGAAAGAAAUUCGGUAUAGGAUAGGCAUGCGUCCCAUUAGCUUGUUGGUGAGGUAACGGCUCACCAAGGCAACGAUGGGUAGGGGAACUGAGAGGUUUAUCCCCCACACUGGUACUGAGACACGGACCAGACUCCUACGGGAGGCAGCAGUAAGGAAUAUUGGUAAAUGGGCGCGAGCCUGAACCAGCCAAGUCGCGUGAAGGAGGACUGUCUUAUGGAUUGUAAACUUCUAUUAAACGGGAAUAACAAGAGUCACGAGUGACUCCCUGCAUGUACCGUAUGAAUAAGCAUCGGCUAACUACGUG